rnacentral:rRNA from 1 species
UUGAUCCUGGCUCAGAUUGAACGCUGGCGGCAUGCCUUACACAUGCAAGUCGAACGGCAGCACGGGUGCUUGCACCUGGUGGCGAGUGGCGAACGGGUGAGUAAUACAUCGGAACAUGUCCUGUAGUGGGGGAUAGCCCGGCGAAAGCCGGAUUAAUACCGCAUACGAUCCACGGAUGAAAGCGGGGGACCUUCGGGCCUCGCGCUAUAGGGUUGGCCGAUGGCUGAUUAGCUAGUUGGUGGGGUAAAGGCCUACCAAGGCGACGAUCAGUAGCUGGUCUGAGAGGACGACCAGCCACACUGGGACUGAGACACGGCCCAGACUCCUACGGGAGGCAGCAGUGGGGAAUUUUGGACAAUGGGCGAAAGCCUGAUCCAGCAAUGCCGCGUGUGUGAAGAAGGCCUUCGGGUUGUAAAGCACUUUUGUCCGGAAAGAAAUCCCUGGCUCUAAUACAGUCGGGGGAUGACGGUACCGGAAGA